rnacentral:rRNA from 1 species
UACGAAGGGAGCUAGCGUUGUUCGGAAUUACUGGGCGUAAAGGGCGCGUAGGCGGCUUCGCUAGUUGGGCGUGAAAUGCCUGGGCUUAACCCAGGAAUUGCGCCCAAUACUUCGAGGCUCGAGUGUGGGAGAGGAUAGUGGAAUUCCCAGUGUAGAGGUGAAAUUCGUAGAUAUUGGGAAGAACACCAGCGGCGAAGGCGGCUAUCUGGACCACAACUGACGCUGAGGCGCGAAAGCGUGGGGAGCAAACAGG